rnacentral:lncRNA from 10 species
CUGCUUGGGACAGUUCUCCCUGCUAUUUCUGCCAACAGCCGGGCUAGACCGGCCUGCAGCAGGCAAACCUGCUCAUCACCUUGCUCAUGGCCUUGAGCUGAGCUUAAUGUGCCUCACCUGAGACCUCAGCUGUGCUAGCCAGAUAUUGUGACUUAGCAGACAAUGUUCUCCUCGCUUGACACCUCUGUAAAGCCCUAGCCCAGGGCCUGGUCCCUAGUAGCCCCUGAAUGCAUGUCAGAUGCACGACACUCGGUGAUUGACUGGCCUCACAGAUGCUUCCUCACCUCCUUCCAUGGGUGCCACGUUAUUACGUUGCAUCGUUGCUUUCUUGUUGCCACCCUUUCAUUCAUUCAUUGAACAGAAAUGUAUGGAGCACCUGCUAUAUGCCAGGCACAAUUCUAGGCUCCAAAGGUUCAACGGUGAACAAGAAAGUCCAAAACAUUCCUUCUCUCGUGGAACUUAGUUUCCAAUGGAAGAAGAUAGCCUUUAAGCAGAAUAAAUUUGUAUCUUACAUAAAGCCGCAUAUGAAACCCUAAUCAGUGCCACAAAGGAAGAGAAAUGGGAGAGAAGAACAGGGCAUGAGGUGUGUGGGAGGUUUGCAAUUUUAAAUAAGUAGUUCCUUUAAAUAAGUUUUUUUUUAUACUGUUACCCAAUAAAGCAGCUUUUAAGCCUUCUUCAAAGUUAAUCGUAUGUCAGUUUUUUACAAGCAGAAUCACCUGACACUUUUUGUUUGUUUUCCCUUUAGGGUUUUUGUCCCUCUCUUAAAGCAAGUGUUCAGAGUCAUGAGCAGAUGGAAGAUACAGGCGGAGGCGUCUUACCUGUCACCGUUGGUAUGUCUGGUUGAAACCUGCGACAAGAUCAUGACCUUCCCAAAGCCAUCUAGGAGUACAGAGAAAAAUGCACAGUGCAUGAAAACUGUGAAAUGGAGUCCCACCACCAGCUAUGGUGGGGAAAAGCCUUUGAACGCCACCUGGCUCUGA